CCAGCCUUCUGAAAGGAAGAUUAAUCCAGGAUGGGAUCAUGAGUUCACAUGUCCGCAUGAUUAAAGGUAUUUUCCGGUAGACGAUGGGGAUGCGUUCCAUUAGAUAGUAGGCGGGGUAACGGCCCACCUAGUCAACGAUGGAUAGGGGUUCUGAGAGGAAGGUCCCCCACAUUGGAACUGAGACACGGUCCAAACUCCUACGGGAGGCAGCAGUGAGGAAUAUUGGUCAAUGGGCGAUGGCCUGAACCAGCCAAGUAGCGUGAAGGAUGACUGCCCUAUGGGUUGUAAACUUCUUUUAUAAAGGAAUAAAGUCGGGUAUGCAUACCCGUUUGCAUGUACUUUAUGAAUAAGGAUCGGCUAACUCCGUGCCAGCAGCCGCGGUAAUACGGAGGAUCCGAGCGUUAUCCGGAUUUAUUGGGUUUAAAGGGAGCGUAGAUGGAUGUUUAAGUCAGUUGUGAAAGUUUGCGGCUCAACCGUAAAAUUGCAGUUGAUACUGGAUGUCUUGAGUGCAGUUGAGGCAGGCGGAAUUCGUGGUGUAGCGGUGAAAUGCUUAGAUAUCACGAAGAACUCCGAUUGCGAAGGCAGCCUGCUAAGCUGCAACUGACAUUGAGGCUCGAAAGUGUGGGUAUCAAACAGGAUUAGAUACCCUGGUAGUCCACACGGUAAACGAUGAAUACUCGCUGUUUGCGAUAUACGGCAAGCGGCC
rnacentral:rRNA from 1 species